rnacentral:rRNA from 1 species
AGAACGAACGCUGGCGGCAGGCUUAACACAUGCAAGUCGAGCGCCCCGCAAGGGGAGCGGCAGACGGGUGAGUAACGCGUGGGAACGUACCCCCCGGUUCGGAAUAACUCAGGGAAACUUGAGCUAAUACCGGAUACGGCUGGAAGGCGAAAGAUUUAUCGCCGGGGGAUCGGCCCGCGUCCGAUUAGCUAGUUGGUGUGGUAAUGGCGCACCAAGGCGACGAUCGGUAGCUGGUCUGAGAGGAUGAUCAGCCACACUGGGACUGAGACACGGCCCAGACUCCUACGGGAGGCAGCAGUGGGGAAUAUUGGACAAUGGGGCAACCCUGAUCCAGCAAUGCCGCGUGAGUGAUGAAGGCCUUAGGGUUGUAAAGCUCUUUCGCCCGCGACGAUGAUGACGGUAGCGGGAGAAGAAGCCCCGGCUAACUUCGUGCCAGCAGCCG